rnacentral:rRNA from 1 species
ACCGUACUCCUACGGGAGGCAGCAGUGGGGAAUCUUAGACAAUGGGGGCAACCCUGAUCUAGCCAUGCCGCGUGAGUGAUGAAGGCCUUAGUGUUGUAAAGCUCUUUCAGCUGGGAAGAUAAUGACGGUACCAGCAGAAGAAGCCCCGGCUAACUCCGUGCCAGCAGCCGCGGUAAUACGUAGGGGGCUAGCGUUGUUCGGAAUUACUGGGCGUAAAGCGCACGUAGGCGGACCAGAAAGUUGGGGGUGAAAUCCCGGGGCUCAACCUCGGAACUGCCUUCAAAACUACAGGUCUGGAGUUCGAGAGAGGUGAGUGGAAUUCCGAGUGUAGAGGUGAAAUUCGUAGAUAUUCGGAGGAACACCAGUGGCGAAGGCGGCUCACUGGCUCGAUACUGACGCUGAGGUGCGAAAGCGUGGGGAGCAAACAGGAUUAGAUACCCCAGUAGUCCUUGAC